rnacentral:lncRNA from 1 species
ACUGUCCUAGCCACCUUUUAUUUGAGGAGGAUUGUAAAACCAAAAUUCUCCUGCCUUACACAAUUCUGAUUCACACCCCGCUGAGGUACCAGAGGCCAACGUAAUUAAGGAAAGCUCUGCUGUGAUCACCAUUGUGCCUUGAAGCUGCCAACCCCUUCCUGCUGUAUUGGAUGAUUAUGAGCAGGAGCACAUAUCAAGAGCCAAGGCCUGGGAUCGCUAUCAGUGAGAAAGACCAACGCUUUGAAUGUGACAACCAAAAUUCUACCAGAGGGCAGCAUGGACAGCACCAACCUGACCAUCUUUUCUUAGGAAGCUUUUCCACAGAUGAAAGGAUAACCAGCAUCCUAGCUUUGACUGAUGAGCAACCACCGAACCCCGGGAAUCACCUCAUGUUAUGGAUGUCAUCAAGACCUUGCAGUCCGAAUUUCAGAGGAAUUUGGAUCCACCCUUUCAAGAGACAUCACAUGUUACAAAUUAACCACAUAGCAUGUAUAAGUGGAACACCCUUCAACCUGUAAUCAUGUUCUGGAUGGUCCUCUCAAA